rnacentral:rRNA from 1 species
UACGGAGGGCGCAAGCGUUGUUCGGAAUCACUGGGCGUAAAGCGCGUGUAGGCGGCCGGGCAAGUCGGAUGUGAAAGCCCGGGGCUCAACCCCGGAACUGCCUUUAAGACUGCAUCGCUUGAAUCCGGGAGAGGUGAGUGGAAUUCCGAGUGUAGAGGUGAAAUUCGUAGAUAUUCGGAAGAACACCAGUGGCGAAGGCGGCUCACUGGACCGGCAUUGACGCUGAGGUGCGAAAGCGUGGGGAGCAAACAGG